rnacentral:rRNA from 1 species
UGGGGAAUAUUGCGCAAUGGGCGAAAGCCUGACGCAGCAACGCCGCGUGGGUGAAGAAGGCCUUCGGGUCGUAAAGCCCUGUCAAGUGGGAAGAACCCUGCCCUUGAGGCAGCUGACGGUACCACUGAAGGAAGCACCGGCUAACUCCGUGCCAGCAGCCGCGGUAAUACGGAGGGUGCAAGCGUUGUUCGGAAUCACUGGGCGUAAAGGGCGCGUAGGCGGCUGGUCGGGUCUGAUGUGAAAGCCCGGGGCUCAACCCCGGAAGUGCAUUGGAAACUGGCUGGCUUGAGUUCGGGAGAGGAGGGCAGAAUUCCCGGUGUAGGGGUGAAAUCCGUAGAGAUCGGGAGGAAAACCAGUGGCGAAGGCGGCCCUCUGGAACGAAACUGACGCUGAGGCGCGAAAGCGUGGGGAGCAAACAGG